GACGUAGGUGGCGAACGUUAUCCGGAAUUAUUGGGCGUAAAGGAUGCGUAGAUGGUGUAGUAAGUUAUCGGUGGUAAAUCGAGGCUCAACCUCGUGGAAGUCGGUAAUACUGCUAUGCUAGAGGAUAGGAGAGGUUAACGGAACUCCCUGUGGAGCGGUGAAAUGCGUAGAUAUAGGGAAGAACACCCAUAAGGCGAAGGCAGUUAACUAUUCUAUUCCUGACAUUGAGGCAUGAAAGCGUGGGGAGCAAAACGG
rnacentral:rRNA from 1 species